rnacentral:rRNA from 1 species
GGACCCGCACAAGUAGUGGAGCAUGUGGUUUAAUUCGAAGAUACGCGCAGAACCUUACCAACACUUGACAUGUUCGUCGCGACUCUAAGAGAUUAGAGUUUUCGGUUCGGCCGGACGAAACACAGGUGCUGCAUGGCUGUCGUCAGCUCGUGUCGUGAGAUGUUGGGUUAAGUCCCGCAACGAGCGCAACCCUCACUUUUAGUUGCCAUCAUUAAGUUGGGCACUCUGAAAGAACUGCCAGUGAUAAGCUGGAGGAAGGUGGGGAUGACGUCAAGUCCUCAUGGCCCUUACGUGUUGGGCUACACACGUGCUACAAUGGUAUCUACAACAGGAAGCAAGACGGCGACGUUUAGCAAAUCUCAUAAACCUUUUCGUAGUCCGGAUUGGAGUCUGCAACUCGACUCCAUG